rnacentral:rRNA from 1 species
GAUGAACGCUGGCGGCGUGCCUAAUACAUGCAAGUCGAGCGAACGGACGAGAAGCUUGCUUCUCUGAUGUUAGCGGCGGACGGGUGAGUAACACGUGGAUAACCUACCUAUAAGACUGGGAUAACUUCGGGAAACCGGAGCUAAUACCGGAUAAUAUUUUGAACCGCAUGGUUCAAAAGUGAAAGACGGUCUUGCUGUCACUUAUAGAUGGAUCCGCGCUGCAUUAGCUAGUUGGUAAGGUAACGGCUUACCAGGGCAACGAUGCAUAGCCGACCUGAGAGGGUGAUCGGCCACACUGGAACUGAGACACGGUCCAGACUCCUACGGGAGGCAGCAGUAGGGAAUCUUCCGCAAUGGGCGCAAGCCUGACGGAGCAACGCCGCGUGAGUGAUGAAGGUCUUCGGAUCGUAAAGCUCUGUUAUUAGGGAAGAACAUAUGUGUAAGUAACUGUGCACAUCUUGACGGUACCUAAUCAGAAAGCCACGGCUAACUACGUG